CAGACUCCUACGGGAGGCAGCAGUGAGGAAUAUUGGACAAUGGUCGGAAGACUGAUCCAGCCAUGCCGCGUGCAGGAUGAAGGUCUUAUGGAUUGUAAACUGCUUUUGUAAGGGAAGAAUAAGGGCUACGCGUAGUUUGAUGACGGUACCUUAUGAAUAAGCAUCGGCUAACUCCGUGCCAGCAGCCGCGGUAAUACGGAGGAUGCGAGCGUUAUCCGGAAUCAUUGGGUUUAAAGGGUCUGUAGGCGGGCUGGUAAGUCAGAGGUGAAAGCGCUCAGCUCAACUGAGCAACUGCCUUUGAAACUGUUAGUCUUGAAUGGUUGUGAAGUAGUUGGAAUGUGUAGUGUAGCGGUGAAAUGCUUAGAUAUUACACAGAACACCGAUAGCGAAGGCAUAUUACUAACAAUUAAUUGACGCUGAUGGACGAAAGCGUGGGGAGCGAACAGGAUUAGAUACCCUGGUAGUCCACGCUGUAAACGAUGGAUACUAGCUGUUUGGUUUAAGGAUUGAGUGGCUAAGCGAAAGUGAUAAGUAUCCCACCUGGGGAGUACGUUCGCAAGAAUGAAACUCAAAGGAAUUGACGGGGGCCCGCACAAG
rnacentral:rRNA from 1 species